rnacentral:rRNA from 1 species
UACGGAGGAUGCAAGCGGUAUCCGGAAUGAUUGGGCGUAAAGGGUCCGCAGGUGGCAGUGUAAGUCUGCUGUCAAAGAAUGAGGCUUAACCUUAUCAAGGCAGUGGAAACUACACAGCUAGAGUACGGUCGGGGUAGAAGGAAUUCAUGGUGUAGCGGUGAAAUGCGUAGAGAUCAGGAAGAACACCGGUGGCGAAAGCGUUCUGCUAGACCUGUACUGACACUGAGGGACGAAAGCUAGGGGAGCGAAUGGG